rnacentral:rRNA from 1 species
UACGUAGGCAGCAAGCGUUGUUCGGAGUUACUGGGCGUAAAGAGUGCGUAGGCGGUCCUAUAAGUUCCGUGUGAAAUCUCCCGGCUCAACUGGGAGGGUGCGCGGAAGACUAUAGGGCUUGAGUGUGGGAGAGGUAAGCGGAAUUCCUGGUGUAGCGGUGAAAUGCGUAGAUAUCAGGAGGAACACCUGUGGUGUAGACAGCUUACUGGACCAUAACUGACGCUGAGGCACGAAAGCGUGGGUAGCAAACAGG